rnacentral:tRNA from 1 species
GAGGGAAUAGCUCAGUGGUAGAGUGUGUGCUUAGAAUGCAGGAGGUCCUGGGUUCAACCCCCAGUACCCCCA